GCCCCGGUAACCUAGCGGUAGAGCGGCGGCCAGGCUAGCCGCAGGUCGCGGGUUCAAAUCCCGCCCGGGGCU
rnacentral:tRNA from 1 species